ACCCCAGCUUAGCAGCAGUAACGCCAUUUUGCAAGGCUAUAUUUAAGAUGACUGGUUCAGAGAAAGGUUAGAACACUGAGUACACAGCGGCUGCCAAACAAGAUGUGUUUGGUUGAAGGCCUGGCAACAGGAGGACUGCCGUUGAGCACCUGACAAUGAGAAAAGCCCCGGGAGAGGUCCCACACCCUGGUGGGGGGCCGAGUCAGCCGUUAUGUUCCAAGAAGGUAGCUAAGAAACUUGCCCCCGGGCUGAACCCUUGGGGGGCCGAGUCAGCCGUUAUGUUUCAGGAAGGUAGCUAGGAAACUUGCCCCCGGGCUAAACCCUUGCCAUAUUAGAAUCCACCAAUUAUAUCCCUGUAACCAUGCAUCUGCUUCUGUAUGCUUGCUUCUGCUCCCCAAAAUCCUAUAAAAGCCCAUCCUUGGUUCCGUGGGGCGCGCCAGUCCCCCGAGUGACUGAAGCGCCCGCAGGUGCCUGUGCCUGUGUAUCCCGACAAUAAACCAAAUCCUCUUGCUGAUUGCAUCCUGUGGUGUCUCGGUCUGGUCUUUGGAGUUGGAGGGUCUCCAUCCCGAGGGAAAGUUCUCCCUGAGAGCUUUUCAUUUGGUGCAUUGGCCGGGAAAGGAGAUCCUCCACCCAGGGACCACCGACCACCCACUGGGAGCCCUUCUCUGAGGGCCCAUUUACAGGCCCUACAGAUUGUGCAGAGAGACGUCUGGAGACCUUUGGCCACUGCUUACCAGGACAAGCUUGAGCAUCCGGUGGUGCCACACCCGUUCCAGAUUGGAGACACCGUGUGGGUGCACAGACACCAGACCAAGAAUCUCGAGCCACGGUGAAAAGGACCCUACACCGUCCUCCUGACUACCCCGACCGCCCUAAAGGUAGACGGAGUCUCGGCUUAGAUCCACACACCACACGUCAAGACAGUCCGGUCUGAGGAAUUGACUAAUCACAACACUACACCCCAGACAUAGAGAGUUCAGCACACUCCAAACCCCUUAAAGUUAAAACUCCUACGUGGCUCCUCCUAGCCCUUUUGUGGCCUAGAGUCAGUGGGGGAAUAAGCCCCCACCAGACAAAAAUUUCUUGACCAAGUCGAGUGAAAGAUUUCACUCAAAGUUAGCAAAAAAAUGGGGGAAUGAAAGACCCCAGCUUAGCAGCAGUAACGCCAUUUUGCAAGGCUAUAUUUAAGAUGACUGGUUCAGAGAAAGGUUAGAACACUGAGUACACAGCGGCUGCCAAACAAGAUGUGUUUGGUUGAAGGCCUGGCAACAGGAGGACUGCCGUUGAGCACCUGACAAUGAGAAAAGCCCCGGGAGAGGUCCCACACCCUGGUGGGGGGCCGAGUCAGCCGUUAUGUUCCAAGAAGGUAGCUAAGAAACUUGCCCCCGGGCUGAACCCUUGGGGGGCCGAGUCAGCCGUUAUGUUUCAGGAAGGUAGCUAGGAAACUUGCCCCCGGGCUAAACCCUUGCCAUAUUAGAAUCCACCAAUUAUAUCCCUGUAACCAUGCAUCUGCUUCUGUAUGCUUGCUUCUGCUCCCCAAAAUCCUAUAAAAGCCCAUCCUUGGUUCCGUGGGGCGCGCCAGUCCCCCGAGUGACUGAAGCGCCCGCAGGUGCCUGUGCCUGUGUAUCCCGACAAUAAACCAAAUCCUCUUGCUGAUUGC